CUCAGGUGCAUCACUAGCAAAUUUUCUUAGAUAUGGAAAUUGUAGGCUAUACAACCAGUUCAAAAUACUGUUGCUUCACUUUCCCUUUAUUUCCUUAAAACAAGUAAAAUGACUGUUUUGGAAAGUGUUGUCAUGAUGUUAAAUUGACCUUGAAAUUGCGACCCAAAGAAGUUUGUUUGGCAUAAGGGUCAAAUGAACUGCAGUUUCUGGUAUUUAUUUACCCAAUUAGCCAUCAAAACAAGUUACGUUUUGGUAAGAAAACUGGAGCAAGUAUACAAAACCUUCUAAUACUCCACAGAAACAACCGCAGUGUCAAAUUGAAAAUAAGUGUCUGCUUAUGUGUGUUUACAUUUUUUUUUGUGCACCCUGGAUAUUCAUCUGACUUUCAUUAAUGCUUACUUUUAUGCUAACAAGAAUUAUUUGUGAAAGAAAGUUUCUGUGAAUUGAUUGGCUUUAUGCCAUUUGGUGAGGAAGCAGAUUUUUUUUUUAAGAGAUGAGGAGAUUUCACUUGUAAAAUGAUGGUCUCUAAAGGAAGAGUCCUACUCUAGUACUUCACUGCCUCUGAAGCUGCAGAGCCAAAGAGCCUGAGAACAGUGCCUACACUAUGCCUCAAGACUCCCUGAGUCCCAAAGAUCUUCCUGAGAACCUCAUUUCAGAAGCAAAGCAGAGUGAUCUGUCCAGGGAACUGGCUCCUAUCUUCCAGGUAUGAUGUCAUAAUGAUGUUUCUAGGACAGUCCUGGCUUUCGCAGGGCCUCUGUCCUGGAAUAGCGCUGGGAGACAGUGUCAGGUGUAAAGGGUGACACAACAUGGGCUCCGCCAAUGCAAAGGAACUGGAGUAAAAGUUCAGGGAAUUUGUGUGCUUGUAUCUGUGCAAGUAUCCUGUCCUGCUUGGCUGGUAUUUCUGUCCUGCUUCCUAUUCUAACCUCCUCUGCUGUUCCGUUCAGCGUCUACUCCUUUCAUAGAAAGUGCCAUCCAGAGCUGGCCAUGUGGAUCAGAGAGAAAAAUCUUACUCUUUUAAAGAGUGCAUUUGUGUUGUGGGAUCUUCGGUUUGUCUGCUUUGAAGAACAUCUGUAGCAGAAGAAAGGACCAUAUCUGCUCUACAGUCUCAGAAGAAGACAGUAAAAGCUGAGUGAACAUAAUUCACAAAGUGUACUUAGAAUUUCCAAGAGAUGAUCCUUAAGUGCUUAUUCUAACAACUACAAUCUAUAGCUGUAAUCCUUAUUCAUGUAAGUAUUAGUAAAAAUCCAAGUCUUCCUAUUGUAUAUUCUGAUGCCAUUUACUAUAGUAUUUCUCUUGAGUUUGUUUGCUUCCUUUUUCUGAUGCCCUAAAGAAAGUUGAUGCCUUCAAACUUUUGGCACUGAAAGGUAAGAGAUAAGUUAAAACUAGUGGGGUUUCCAGAGUCUCUGAGCUUUUUAAAAAGAAGCUAAAAUGAGUAGCCAAGAGAAUUACAUCUUUGCAGAUAGCACAGAGGCUUCUUGUUGUCUCAUACUGAAUGCAUCACCUGCUAAGAAAUGACUGAAGCAAAAGGAAGGCAGUCUUCAUGGAGUGAAAACUUAACCCAUGCUAUGAGUUUUUCAAAAGGCUGAAGUACUAUCCACAUUAGAAAAAAAAAAGAAAGGAAUAAUAAACUCUAACAGAUUAAAUGUAUAAAUAAAGCUUAACUGUCCAAAAGAGUUUGAGGAACAACUCACAGAAGUAAUAAAUCUUACUUCAAAUGUAUCGAGAACUAUAAGGCUGCCAGAGAUGUUGUAGGGCCAAUAGAUGAUAGAGGUAUAAAAGGAUUGCCUACAUGAAGUAAAGUUCUCGCAGAACAAUAAACUAUUUCUGGAG
rnacentral:lncRNA from 1 species